UCCGAUGUGGUGUAUCGGUAACAUAUCCGCCUCUCAUGAGUCUGUGCUCCAGGCUAACAUGACGCGGUUGCGCGGGGUUCGAUUCCCCGCAUCGGAA